rnacentral:rRNA from 1 species
UACGGAGGGUGCGAGCGUUGUCCGGAAUCAUUGGGCGUAAAGGGCGCGUAGGCGGGAUGGCAAGUCGGUCGUGAAAUCCCUCGGCUCAACUGAGGAUCGUCGAUCGAUACUGCCGUUCUUGAGGAUUGCAGAGGAGACUGGAAUUCCCGGUGUAGCGGUGAAAUGUGUAGAGAUCGGGAGGAACACCGGUGGCGAAGGCGGGUCUCUGGGCAAUUCCUGACGCUGAGGCGCGAAAGCGUGGGGAGCAAACGGG